rnacentral:misc_RNA from 1 species
GAUACUAGUAAUUAUUAGUUGAAUGGUUAUUUGAAAAAUCAACUCUUUAAAUUUGAUGGCAAUAAGAAUAUGGAGGUCCUUGAUAAGUUGAUCGUUCUUCUCGAUUUCAAUUUCCUUCAGCAAAGAAAGUGAUCUGAUGAGAUAAUAAUUAUUAGUUGAAUAACCAUUAGAGAAAUCAACUUCUUACACUUGGUGGCAAUAAGAAUAUGGGAUUCUUGAUUAGU